rnacentral:rRNA from 2 species
AUUUGAUCUCAAAUCAGGUAGGACUACCCGCUGAACUUAAGC